CUUUGAAAUAUUUGCAUUUAUAUUUUUGUUCAGUAUAAUAGCAAUAAGGCACCUCGUGGCUAAGAACAGCCCUUAGCCGUGGUAUAUUGACCAUAUACCACACCUCCUUGGGCCUUAUUGCUUAAAUAUACCACACCUAAGGGCUGUUCUUAUGUACUGCGCGGAAGCGGAGUGCCUUGAUACAGCCCUUAGCAGUGGUAUAUUGGCCAUAUACCACAAACCCCCGAGGUGCCUUAUUGCUAUUAUAAGCCAGUUAUCAACAAAAUGUAACUGUAAACAGGUAGGUUUGUGUCAUACCUAUGGUAUAUUGUCUGAUAUACACACCGCUGGAAUGCUUUUUCAGCCAAUCAGCAUUCAUGACUCAAACUACACUUUUUAGCUAACUAGUUACAAGUAAAGAGUUUAGACAAUCACCUUCAAAGUACCAGCCUAAAUAUUUUUUUUAUUGAAUGUAAUACAUUCAUAACUCAAAAUGACCAUGGAGAAAAGAAGAGAUCUUCUCACAUCCCCCAAAUAACAAUUACAUUGAAAACCAGAUGGAGGUUGUCCGUGCCCUUGCUGUCUACCAUUUCAGUUUCAAAACUGACCAUAUGGCACAUUACCUGCCCCAAAGCAGUGUUGCCAACUUAGCGACUUUGUCGCUAUAUUUAGCGAGUAUUCAGACCCCUUUAGCGACACAUUUUCAAAAAGGCGACUAGCGACAAAUCUAGCGACGUUUUCUGGUGUUAUUGGAGACUUUUGGAGACUCUGACGUGAAAGCACGUAUAGUUAUUACUCUUCUCAACGAGCAGCGGGUGCUGCCGUGGGCCCCACCCCGUCCCAAAGCACUCACAGGCGGCCCCAGCUGCAGUCAGAGCAGGAGAUGUUCACCCCUCCGCUUCCAGACUGCAAAUGGUUCGCGCAUGCGGGAAGCCGCCGCUGGCUGAUCCCACCCUGGCUUACAUUCAGGGCGGGAUGUAAAUGUAAAAAAAUAAAAUAAAAAAAUAAAAUAAAAAAACGAAGUAACUCCGCUAGAGUGUCUCUUUUGGGUCACUUUUGCCGGUCCCAAGCCAAGAUAAAGGAGGAAGGAGGGUUGGAAAUGUGCCAUAAUUUUUUUUUUUAAAUCGACAAUAGAAAGAAGUAAUUUCUAGUUCUAAAUAUAUUUAGGGUGUUUUUUAUUCACUUUUUGUCUCUCCCACGACUUUAUUCCUCUCUCCUACAACUUCCAUCACAAUUACAUGCACAUGGCCAAUUAUGCAAAUUAGGUGAUUUAUAGCGACUUUUAGGACAACCAAUAGCUACUUUCCUUACUGAGGAGUUGGCAACACUGCUCCAAACUCCUCAACCUUCAACACGUAUUUAUGGACGCCGUUUGGGUCUUUGCGUGUCAAAAAAGACGACACAUCAAAUAAGCUUUUAAUUUGAUGCGCCAAAUAGCCAAAUUCUAUUAUACAAUGUUGUGCGUGCUGAAUUUGCAUGCGCAACUAAGCCAAGUGCCACCACUAAGGUCAGUAGCACUGUCAAAACUGUAAAAAAAAAAAAACAAUCAAAAAACAAUUGGGCUACAAAGAAGCAGUUGGUAAUAAGCCAUUAUUUGUUAGACCGAAUGGGAAAACAUAUGUGUGAGCAUUUAAAAUAACAAGCAGAAUCACAAAUGUUCACUAGGUUGUCCAACAUUCUCCCCGACAUGCAACCAUCCCAGAGGCAGGGGAGAAAGGAUGGUGAUCCUGCUGGUUCUGUCUGCCUGCCAACCACAUCCCAAGCAGUUUCACCUGAUUUAAUCCUAGCUAGUUGAAAUACAGAAUAAUAAUCAAGCAUUUUGUCAACAUUGAUAACAGUUUGGAAACAGGAGCAUUCAACGUGUUUGAAACCCACCCUCUUCCCCACUGCUUGGAAUGCCAGAGAUUUUUAGAAGCCAUGUUUGCUCUUGGAUGGGCCGAGAAGGGUGAAAUGUCACUUAUAGAGGAAGAAAUGUAAUGUGGAACUGUGAAAUUAUGUUGUCUAGAAUAUGAAUUGGAUUUAGUCACUGCCUCUGGCAUUUACUUAUUCAGAUCAACUUUAUUAUCCCACCAGGGGGAAAUUAAUUUGGUCAUGUGCCUAAAAACACAUACAUAAAAUAGAAUUCAUUUAAAGUGCAAUAGCUAC
rnacentral:lncRNA from 1 species